AUUGAACGCUGGCGGCAGGCCUAACACAUGCAAGUCGAGCAGGGUUUUCGGACCUAGCGGCGGACGGGUGAGUAAUGCGUAGGAAGCUACCCGAUAGAGGGGGAUACCAGUUGGAAACGACUGUUAAUACCGCAUAAUGUCUACGGACCAAAGUGUGGGACCUUCGGGCCACAUGCUAUCGGAUGCGCCUACGUGGGAUUAGCUAGUUGGUGGGGUAAUGGCUCACCAAGGCGACGAUCCCUAGCUGGUUUGAGAGGAUGAUCAGCCACACUGGAACUGAGACACGGUCCAGACUCCUACGGGAGGCAGCAGUGGGGAAUAUUGGACAAUGGGCGAAAGCCUGAUCCAGCCAUGCCGCGUGUGUGAAGAAGGCCUUCGGGUUGUAAAGCACUUUCAGUAGGGAGGAAGGGUUAAGUGUUAAUAGUACUUAACUUUGACGUUACCUACAGAAGAAGCACCGGCUAACUCUGUGCCAGCCGCCGCGGUAAGAC
rnacentral:rRNA from 1 species